GAUGAAGAACGUAGCGAAAUGCGAUAAGUAAUGUGAAUUGCAGAAUUCAGUGAAUCAUCGAAUCUUUGAACGCACCUUGCGCUCCUUGGUAUUCCGAGGAGCAUGCCUGUUUGAGUGUCAUGAAAUUCUCAACCUUUCUGGCUUUUGCUAGUCAGGCUUGGAUUAUGGGAGCUGCUGGCUUUUGAAGUCGGCUCUUCUAAAAUGUAUUAGCAAGAUCAUUGCUGCUCAUCAUUGGUAUGAUAAUUAUCUGUAUCAUUGAGAGUCAGUUUCCUUUAUUGGAAGAUUUUGCUCCUAACGGUCUUUAGCAAGACAACAUUUGACGAUUUUGACCUCAAAUCAGGUAGGACUACCCGCUGAACUUAAGCAUAUCAAUAAGCGGAGGA
rnacentral:misc_RNA from 1 species